CAAAGUGCAACAAGGAUGAGUAGAGUGGGCCAAGAAAAGACAUGGUUUACAGAUGAGCCGGAGGAUACCCACCUGAGGACCAUACAGAUCAAGCCUGUGAAUACGCUCUCCAUCAACCAAGUAAUUCAGUUUAAAUCCACAAGCAGCUUGAUUCCACCCAUCAGAGAAGCGGAGGACGAGUGCUGAGAUCUGGCCCUGCGCUGACAUCUGGACGCUCGACUCAUCGUGUGGGAGUCAGACUUAGUUCAUCUUCUCAUCUGCAAAUAAAAUAUCAGUUGAGUUUAGAUGAGACGAACACAAAUCGCUUCCCUCAUUCACCCCUGCAGCUUAUUGUACGAUCAGAUUUAGAAUCAUACACAUCAAGACAAUCAUCACAGUCAAAUGCCGCCACCACUCAACCAUUAGCUUGCACAGCUAAUCUUUAGUGGUGACCAGACUCCAUUACUUUUUUUGUUCCAUUUUGGGGAAUGAGGGUCAUUCGAAGGGAACAGCAAUGUAAAAACGACUUCUGCUACUAUAAGAGGUGAUUAUUAUAACUGGAUCAAGUUUGCAAUUGUAAAAGUUGCCUUUUUAGCUGUUGAUGAACAACUACUAUUACUGCAUUGACUUUACCCAGUGUUGCAGAGUUCUCUUUACAGUAUGUUCAAAUGUGUAUUUUACAUCCAGCUGCAAUCCCACCACAAUGGCAUUGUUAGUGACUGACUCUCAGUGAUUCUUUUGCCAUUUGGAGCUAAUUCACAACAUUUGUGACAGUUAAGAUGGCCAGUGUCCAUGUGUAAAUGGCAUUUGGCUCCAGCCUUAUCUCUAUCCAUUUAUAUACGUCUUAUCUUUGCAUUUUUGAGUCGUUUGUCAUAACUGUUUUCAUGUCGCUGUUUGGUUGCAAUGUCCAAAACCCAGAAAUCGUAUGUAAAGCUUUUUAAGUAUCUGCAAGGUUUCUUCAGGGGUAAAUCUUCUAUCUUUUUCUUUUCUUUUUUUUUAACUAGCGCCAAAUAUGAUAGAGCUGUUUUGUUGACAUUAGAAUAUAACCAAAAAUCUCAGACCGUUUAUAAUACAGUGACAGAGAUAUUAACUUACUUUAGGGGAAAAAAGCUAAAUACUAUGGUAAAGCAUGACACCAUAAGUCUGUAGAUGAUAAAGCCUCAUAUCGCAGUGGGCAUCUUUAAGUCCUCCUUUGGCAGUAAGCACUGCCUGACACAGGAUUGUCUUGGAGGCCAUUCAGUGCUUAUGUCCUCCAUGACCAAUCUUAAUGCCAAAAUCCGACAUGGUCAUGCUUUCUGUAGAUGCAUUAAAAAAACAACAGCUCUAUCAUACAUAAUUUGUUUGGCUAUAUGAGUGUUCCGAUUGAUGUUGGGGAUCAAUUACAUAUCUGAUAUUUUCAUAAAAUGAAGCACAGAUCCAUUUGUUUCAUUUUGUACAAGCACGUGUUGAGAGCUUAGGGUGUUUAUUAAUCUUGUCUUGUCUUAUUUCAAUUGUAAAACACAGCUAUAUUGGCACUGUUGUCACUUUACUACAAAAUCAAUGAAAAGGGAAAGAAAGGUAAAAACUUCCCAAGCUCAAUCCACAGGAUGCAUUGUAGUCUAGGCUAAGAUUCAUGUUGGAUGUGCAAAGAGUUUAUCAAAUGUUUUAGUGGCACAGAGAAAAGCCAUCCCUCAGUGCCAGUAAUGUGCCGGGCAGUGCUGAAGCCAACGGAGGACUCCAGAAGACCCACUACUGCGAAAAGAGGCUUCGAAAUUCAAUCUCAAUGUAUUAUUGUCACGAAACUGAGAAAUGUACCUUUCUCUUUGCUGAGUUUUUUUUUUAUGUAGUGUUUGAAAUUCUUAAUACGUCUCUGUAAUUCCCUGGAGAUAACUGUAGUAAAUAAUUUGAAGUCUUAAAACUAUUUUUAAAUUAUCCAUCAUCAAUAGCAGCGCCUGAUAGCAAUUCAUUUUAUGUUCUUUUCAAAGAAAUCUGUAAAGCUUAAUGUAAAAAUAUUUCUUUCUAGUGUGUUCUUGUUUGACAGUACCUGUGGGGUGGAGAGACAUUCAACAUUGCAGUCUAGUUUGUAUUAUUUUGUCAAUUUCUUUUUAGCACAUUGACUUGUGGAUACAAUGACAGUGCUAAGUUGAUAUUUCUGACUAUGUCAUAACACCCAAUAAUGAUUACAGUUUAUUGUCUUGUACAAAUAGGCUUGUACAUAAAAUUGUACAUGAUUUCAUUUUGUAUUUUCACAAAUUAAAAGCUGAUGUAUUGUGUUCUA